AUCCCUGUAGCGCAAUAGGUAGCGCGUUGGACUACUAAUCGAAAUGUCGUGGGUUCGAAUCCCACCAGGGUCG